rnacentral:lncRNA from 1 species
UUUGGACCAAGAAUAAACAUAUGGUUUAUUCAUUAAGUUUUAUUGUUACCACAUUAAGUAUAUACUUGAGCAAUUAAAUAUGUUGUAAUACAUAGAUGAUAAUACUCGCUUUUAGAGGAACUAUCACUAUGAUUCGCAUGUUUGUUUCUUAAGGAAGGUACUUGUUGACUUAUUUAGGUCAAUUAUUAGAUCCUAUGGACCAAGUGGGAGAAUGUAAUAAUUUGUCGGUUUUACUUUAUAAAUUAUUGUUAAUAAAACCUCACUUUUAAUGGUCCAUAGGUUAUGAAAGUUUUGGUUGCUAAUUAGUCAUAAGAUUAAAGACAAUUAAUUGGGUGGUAAUGGCUUGUUUAUUCUUGAUGGUAGAAUCAAGCAUAUAUAAUAUAGUCUUUGGUCCCUAAGCUUGCUUUCAUUCCAUUAUUCAGAAAUAUAUACACCAUCUAUAUAGUUGAGAGUAAGAGCUUAGAAGACUCAAAGACUGUGCAUUCACAACACUGUAACAAUGGCUGGAGGUAAUUGUUUAAGUUCCUAUUUUCCGCAUUUGGUUUAUUGAUCUUGUUGUUCUUUUGUUGUCAGGAACAUAAGAUCAAUUGAAUUAAUCUUACAGU